UUGGAGGGCAAGUCUGGUGCCAGCAGCCGCGGUAAUUCCAGCUCCAAUAGCGUAUAUUAAAGUUGUUGCAGUUAAAAAGCUCGUAGUUGAAUUUCGGGAUUGACACAUCGGUCGUGCCUUAAGGGGUAUGAACUGGUGUAGUCAAUUUCUCACCUUCUGGAGAACCGCGAUGCCCUUAAUUGGGUGUCGCGGGGAACCAGGACCUUUACUUUGAAAAAAUUAGAGUGUUUAAAGCAGGCAUUUUGCUUGAAUACAUUAGCAUGGAAUAAUAAAAUAGGACGGCAUGAUUCUAUUUUGUUGGUUUCUAGGAUCACCGUAAUGAUUAAUAGGGAUAGUUGGGGGCAUUAGUAUUCAAUUGUCAGAGGUGAAAUUCUUGGAUUUAUUGAAGACUAACUACUGCGAAAGCAUUUGCCAAGGAUGUUUUCAUUAAUCAAAAACGAAAGUUAGGGGAUCGAAGACGAUCAGAUACCGUCGUAGUCUUAACCAUAAACUAUGCCGACUUGGAAUCAGACGAUGUUAAUUUUUUAAUGACUCGUUCGGCGCCUUACGGGAAAC
rnacentral:rRNA from 1 species